rnacentral:lncRNA from 1 species
AAUUUUGAUAGAAACAAAAUUUUUUUUAAUAGUGUAGUAACCCGUGCAAUGCAACAAAUAGAUAAUUGGAGAAAAUAUAGAAAACAUCGACAAAAGAAAAAAUUGAUAAAAAAAUCGAUAAUGAAGGGUAGGAUUCAUCUUGCCGUUGAAUAAAAGUAACAGCCGAAGGAAGAGAAAGAGGAAGGACUUGAGCUGGUUCGGGGUGGAGCCCACACUCAACCAUAAAGGAAACGUUGUCAUGUGGCAACUUUAAGAGAAAUAAUAUACAGGUAUAGAGGUAUAGAAGAUUGUCUUUUAAAUAGACUAUCAUCAUUGAUUGUUUAAAGGGUAGAACAGUCAAUAUAGUUUGAACUUUUUCUAU